rnacentral:lncRNA from 1 species
AGAGAGAAAAUAUCUCUGAUGACAAAGGGUUUCUGAUUUUUUUUUCAAUUGGGACAACAGUAGGGAUGACAGAGAAAAUGUUGGAAUGAGAGAGAUGACAAAGAAAAUGUUGGAUUGAGAGAGAUGAGAGAGAAAGGGUUGAGAGGAACGAGGGAGGUGAGUAAGGGUUUGGGAGUUUCUCUUUUUUUUUAGUUUUGAGAAUGAAAAUUAUUUAAAUAUCCUUGACCUUAAAACUUGAAUCCAUGAUAAAUGAGGGUACUUUUGUCUACUAUAAUCCGGUACAUAUUGUUAAAACGUACCAAUUGAAAAACAGGUGUACGCGUGUUAACAAACCCCUAUAAAUUAUAUUAUUUUUAAAAUUUAAUUAAAGUUUUAGAGUGAGGUUAAAAUUUAAUUAGGUUUUAGACUGGGGCUAAACCCACUUUAACCCUGACCCUAAACCACUUGAGAGGGGGUUUUAGGAGUUGGGGUUUUUUUCUGGCCCCCUACUUGGAAGAUUUAUUAAAAUAGGACUUUUUCAACAGUGGAUUAGAAUUGGCCCUAGGACUAUGGGUUAGUUUGACACCUCUAAUGGUGGUGAGUUAUCUGUAGUAAAAUAAUCACACCUCCCC